rnacentral:tRNA from 1 species
UGGCUCAGUGGUAGAGUACUUGCCUUGCAUGCAUGAGGCCCUGAGUUCAAUUCCUCAG